GCGCCUGUGGCUCUGAGGAGUAGGGUGCUGGCCCCAUAUGCCAGAGGUGGUGGGUUCAAACCCAGCCCUGGCCCA
rnacentral:tRNA from 1 species